rnacentral:lncRNA from 1 species
CCACGCACGAGUCGGCAUAGGCGCGCGCGCCGCAACCGCUUCGCGGCGGUGCCUCGGCGGCUGCCAUCGCCACCGCCACGAUCACGAAAAGGCCGACGGCGGCGGGUGCCCUCUUGUUGGUCGCCAUGGCCGCGGGUCGUGGUGGGUGGCGCUCUUCCCGUACGGCGGUCUCUCUUUUUCGUUUUCGCGGAUCUCCUCUUUUCUUCCCGUCUCUCCCCUGUCCUUGCGAUCUCGUCUGCCUCGGCCACUCCCGUGUUUCCGCGUAUCGCUCUUUUUCACGACUUGUCGCCGGCCUUUUUUUGUAUCUCUCUGACGCCGCGGUUCUUGUCUGAUGAUACAAAUCGCUCCUUUUGUUUUCUUCCCCGCGCCGGCAAACCGGCCGUGCGGCGGCCGACACGGUGGAAAAACAGACAAACAAGACGACACGGGUCCAGAGAGAGAGAGCCAGAGGGGGACCGCAAACACGUGCGCCCAGGACAAAUGUCUUCUUUUUUUUUUGGAAUAGUAGAAAAAAGAGGAAAGUUUGUG